GAAAAUAGAAUAAACCUAGGCACUGUUUUGGGAUGUUUAAAGGCAAAAAUUGAUUUUUUUUCCUGCAAGCUCAGGGAGGCCAGAAACCUCCCAUGGAGCAUAAGGGCAAAAGCUCUCUUGAUCUUGAUUUUCAGUACAAAUAGAAAUCAUUAAGUGGGGGUCUCACAAUCUUUCUGACUUUUUAGAUUUUAAGCAGGAGGUGUCAGAAAGUUACCACAGGGAUAACUGGCUUGUGACGGCAAAGCAUUCAUAACGACGUCACAUUGUGACCUUUCCAUGUCAGCUCUUCCUAUCAUUGUGAAGCAGAAUUCACCAAGCAUUGGAUUGUUCACCCAUUAUUUUUCUAUAUGCAUUUCUGCUUUAAUUAUUGUGUUUAUUUCAUAAUUUUCCUAAGACUAGGAAAGUUUUAUC
rfam:Anas platyrhynchos breed Pekin duck contig30188, whole genome shotgun sequence.